rnacentral:rRNA from 1 species
ACGACUACAUUAGAUACCCGGGUAGUCCUAGCCGUAAACGAUACUCGCUAGGUGUCGGCCACGGUGCGACCGUUGUCGGUGCCGUAGGGAAGCCGUGAAGCGAGCCACCUGGGAAGUACGGCCGCAAGGCUGAAACUUAAAGGAAUUGGCGGGGGAGCACCACAACGGGUGGAGCUUGCGGUUUAAUUGGAUUCAACGCCGGAAAUCUUACCGGGACCGACAGCAACAUGAAGGCCAGGCUGAAGACCUUGCCGGAUUAGCUG